rnacentral:tRNA from 1 species
AUUUUCUUAGUAUAAAUAGUACAGAUGGCUUCCAACCACCUAGCCCUGGUUUAACCCAGGAGAAAAUA